GGCAGCAGUGGGGAAUCUUAGACAAUGGGGGAAACCCUGAUCUAGCCAUGCCGCGUGAGCGAUGAAGGCCUUAGGGUUGUAAAGCUCUUUCAGUGGGGAAGAUAAUGACGGUACCCACAGAAGAAGCCCCGGCUAACUCCGUGCCAGCAGCCGCGGUAAUACGGAGGGGGCUAGCGUUGUUCGGAAUUACUGGGCGUAAAGCGCGCGUAGGCGGGCUGGAAAGUUGGGGGUGAAAUCCCGGGGCUCAACCCCGGAACUGCCUCCAAAACUAUCAGCCUUGAGUUCGAGAGAGGUGAGUGGAAUUCCGAGUGUAGAGGUGAAAUUCGUAGAUAUUCGGAGGAACACCAGUGGCGAAGGCGGCUCACUGGCUCGAUACUGACGCUGAGGUGCGAAAGUGUGGGGAGCAAACAGGAUUAGAUACCCUGGUAGUCCACACCGUAAAAGAUGAAUGCCAGACGUCGGCAAGCNUGCUGUCGGUGUCACACCUAACGSAUUAAGCAUCCGC
rnacentral:rRNA from 1 species